rnacentral:rRNA from 1 species
GCUACUUCUAGUCUUGUAAUUGGAAUGAGUACAACUUACAUCUCUUCACGAGGAUCAACUGGAGGGCAAGUCUGGUGCCAGCAGCCGCGGUAAUUCCAGCUCCAGAAGCGUAUAUUAAAGUUGUUGCAGUUAAAACGCUCGUAGUCGGGUUUCGGGUCGGGCCGAGCGGUCUGCCGAUGGGUAUGCACUGUUUGGCGCGGCCUUCUUUCCGGAGACCGCGGCUACUCUUAACUGAGCGGGCGUGGGAGACGGAUCGUUUACUUUGAAAAAAUCAGAGUGUUUCAAGCAGGCAGCUCGCUCUUGCAUGGUACAGCAUGGGAUGAUUGAAUAGGACUCCGGUGCUAUUUUGUUGGUUUCGAACACCAGGAGUAAUGAUUAACAGGGACAGUCAGGGGCACUCGUAUUCCGUCGAGAGAGGUGAAAUUCUCAGACCAAUGGAAGACGAACCACUGCGAAAGCAUUUGCCAGGGAUGUUUUCACUGAUCAAGAACGAAAGUUAGGGGAUCGAAGACGAUCAGAUACCGUCGUAGUCUUAACCAUAAACCAUGCCGACUAGGGAUUGGAGGGUGUUCGUUUCGACCUCUUCAGCACCUUACGGGAAACUAAAGUCUUUGGGUUCCGGGGGGAGUAUGGUCGCAAGGCUGAAACUUAAAGGAAUUGACGGAAGGGCACCACCAGGAGUGGAGCCUGCGGCUUAAUUUGACUCAACACGGGGAAA